UACGUAGGGGGCUAGCGUUGUCCGGAAUCAUUGGGCGUAAAGCGCGUGUAGGCGGUCCGGUAAGUCCGCUGUGAAAGUCGGGGGCUCAACCCUCGGAUGCCGGUGGAUACUGUCGGGCUUGAGUACGGAAGAGGCAAGUGGAAUUCCUGGUGUAGCGGUGGAAUGCGCAGAUAUCAGGAGGAACACCUAUAGCGAAGGCAGCUUGCUGGGACGACACUGACGCUGAGGCGCGAAAGCGUGGGGAGCGAACAGG
rnacentral:rRNA from 1 species